CUGGGCUGGGUUAGAAGGUGAGGGCUUGCAAAGGCAGCAGUUAAAGGGAUACUCUAGGUACCCAGACCACUUCUGCCCAUUGGAGUGGUCUGGAUGCCAACUCCCACUACCCUUAACCCUGCAAGUGUAAUUACUGCAGUUUUCAUAAAUCUAUCAGACAGCCCCUAGAGGGACUUCCGUGUUCUUAGAACACGAAAAGUGUUUUAAGCAAUGCUGGAUGUCCUUAUGCUAUGUGAGGACCUCCAGCGUCGACGAAAUCCCCAUAUGAUAGCAUUCAAUGCUUUCCGAUGGGGAGGGCUAAUGACGUCGGCGGGGGAGGAGCGUAGGCGGAGCCUGUCCCAGCGGAAACAGACAUCGGCACUGGACUCUGGUAAGUCACUGAAGGGGUUUUAACCACUUCAGC